rnacentral:lncRNA from 1 species
CAGUGGUGCGACUGGUCCUUUGACCUGCGGUAUGUUGGCUAUUCACAGUGAGGUUAUAUAGUUUGACUGCAUGUUCCCAUAGUCCCUAGCCAUAUGGGUCCUUGCUGUGUAUGUUGGCUAUGUAGGUUCAGGUUCGUUGUUUGGAAUAGGAUGCACCUAGAUAGAAUCUUUCAAUCUUGAUAGAAAAGAAGAAGUCCUAUGUGAUUCAUAAAACUGAGUUC